rnacentral:rRNA from 1 species
GAUGAACGCUGGCGGCGUGCCUAAUACAUGCAAGUCGAGCGAACAGACGUGGAGCUUGUUCCUCUGACGUUAGCGGCGGACGGGUGAGUAACACGUGGAUAACCUACCUAUAAGACUGGGACAACUUCGGGAAACCGGUGCUAAUACCGGAUAAUAUAUUGAACCGCAUGGUUCAAUAGUGAAAGACGGUUUUGCUGCCACUAAUGGAUGUACCCGCGCCGCAUUAGCUAGUUGGUAAGGUAACGGCUUACCAAGGCGACGAUGCGUAGCCGACCUGAGAGGGUGAUCGGCCACACUGGAACUGAGACACGGUCCAGACUCCUACGGGAGGCAGCAGUAGGGAAUCUUCCGCAAUGGGCGAAAGCCUGACGGAGCAACGCCGCGUGAGUGAUGAAGGUCUUCGGAUCGUAAAACUCUGUUAUUAGGGAAGAACAAAUGUGUAAGUAACUAUGCACGUCUUGACGGUACCUAAUCAGAAAGCCACGGCUAACUACGUG